ensembl:snRNA U2 U2 spliceosomal RNA
AUCGCUUCUCGGCCUUUUGGCUAAGAUCAAGUGUAGUAAUUUAGCAUUAUAUAACUUUAUGAAAUAAUGAGAAUCAAUCAACACUGUGCAUUCACAGAGUAACAUUGGAUUUAAAUGCAGUAUACUUCCUCUCCAUCCAAGAAACAUGCC